CGUGCUUGUGCGCCGCGGACGUGAGGGCGCGCAGCUCCUCCAACGAGCCGAAGCGGUGCUGCGUCUCGCGCGGCUUCGACGGCCAGUAGCCGUGG
rnacentral:tRNA from 1 species